AUUGAACGCUGGCGGCAUGCCUUACACAUGCAAGUCGAACGGCAGCACGGGGCAACCUGGUGGCGAGUGGCGAACGGGUGAGUAGUGCAUCGGAACGUACCUUUCAGUGGGGGAUAACGUAGCGAAAGUUACGCUAAUCCCGCAUAUUCUGUGAGCAGGAAAGCAGGGGAUCGCAAGACCUUGCGCUGAUUGAGCGGCCGAUGUCAGAUUAGCUAGUUGGUGAGGUAAAGGCUCACCAAGGCGACGAUCUGUAGCGGGUCUGAGAGGAUGAUCCGCCACACUGGAACGGAGACACGGUCCAGACUCCUACGGGAGGCAGCAGUGGGGAAUUUUGGACAAUGGGGGCAACCCUGAUCCAGCCAUGCCGCGUGAGUGAAGAAGGCCUUCGGGUUGUAAAGCUCUUUCGGCCGGGAAGAAAUCGCACGGGCUAAUACCCUGUGUGGAUGACGGUACCGGAAUAAGAAGCACCGGCUAACUACGUGCCAGCCGCCGCAGUAAAAC
rnacentral:rRNA from 1 species